GACGAACGCUGGCGGCGUGCUUAACACAUGCAAGUCGAACGGUAAGGCCCUUCGGGGUUCACGAGUGGCGAACGGGUGAGUAACACGUGGGUGAUCUGCCCUGCACUUCGGGAUAAGCCUGGGAAACUGGGUCUAAUACCGGAUAGGACCACUGCCUGCAUGGGUGGUGGUGGAAAGCUUUUGCGGUGUGGGAUGGGCCCGCGGCCUAUCAGCUUGUUGGUGGGGUGAUGGCCUACCAAGGCGACGACGGGUAGCCGGCCUGAGAGGGUGUCCGGCCACACUGGGACUGAGAUACGGCCCAGACUCCUACGGGAGGCAGCAGUGGGGAAUAUUGCACAAUGGGCGCAAGCCUGAUGCAGCGACGCCGCGUGAGGGAUGACGGCCUUCGGGUUGUAAACCUCUUUCAGCACCGACGAAGCGCAAGUGACGGUAGGUGCAGAAGAAGGACCGGCCAACUACGUGCCAGCCGCCGCAGUAA
rnacentral:rRNA from 1 species